GUGAAAUACAAAUCGGACUAGGAUAUAGCUGGUUUUCUGCGAAAUCUAUUUUAGUAGAUGAUUUAUAUAUUUUAUUAGAGGGUAUAGCACUGAAUAUCUACAAUUUACAAUUAUUCUUUGUAUAAUGAAUAUAUGGAUAUAUAUAUAUAUAUAUGUAUAUUAAUAAUAAUAUAAAUGAGUAAUGAUAAGUUGUUGAGAGGAGUAUGAAAGUACUUACUUUGGAUAUUUAAUCUCAGAAUAUCUAAUAAACAGAAAUAAGUUAUCAGACUUAUUGCGAGAAGGUGA
rnacentral:rRNA from 1 species